rnacentral:rRNA from 1 species
AUUGAACGCUGGCGGAAUGCUUUACACAUGCAAGUCGAACGGCAGCACGGACUUCGGUCUGGUGGCGAGUGGCGAACGGGUGAGUAACAUAUCGGAACGUAUCCAAUAAUGGGGGAUAACGAGUCGCAAGAUUCGCUAAUACCGCAUACGCCCUACGGGGGAAAGCUGGGGACCUUUGGGCCUGGCGUUAAUGGAGCGGCCGAUAUCUGAUUAGCUAGUUGGUGAGGUAAAGGCUCACCAAGGCGACGAUCAGUAGCUGGUCUGAGAGGACGACCAGCCACACUGGAACUGAGACACGGUCCAGACUCCUACGGGAGGCAGCAGUGGGGAAUUUUGGACAAUGGGCGCAAGCCUGAUCCAGCCAUUCCGCGUGAGUGAAGAAGGCCUUCGGGUUGUAAAGCUCUUUCGCAAGGGAAGAAAACUUAGCCACUAACAUUGGUUGAGGUUGACGGUACCUUGAUAAGAAGCACCGGCUAACUACGUGCCAGCAGCCGCGGUAA